rnacentral:rRNA from 1 species
UACGUGGGGGGCAAGCGUUGUUCGGAAUUACUGGGCGUAAAGGGCUCGUAGGUGGCCAACUAAGUCAGACGUGAAAUCCCUCGGCUUAACCGGGGAACUGCGUCUGAUACUGGAUGGCUUGAGUUCGGGAGAGGGAUGCGGAAUUCCAGGUGUAGCGGUGAAAUGCGCAGAUAUCAGGAGGAACACCAAUUGCGAAGGCAGCUCGCUGGGACGUUACUGACGCUGAGACGCGAAAGCGUGGGGAGCAAACAGG